GACGUAGGGCGCGAGCGUUGUCCGGAUUUAUUGGGCGUAAAGAGCUCGUAGGCGGCUUGUCGCGUCGUCCGUGAAAACCUGGGGCUCAACUCCAGGCUUGCGGUCGAUACGGGCAGGCUAGAGUUCGGUAGGGGAGACUGGAAUUCAUGGUGUAGCAGUGAAAUGCGUAGAGAUCAUGAGGAAGACCAGUGGCGAAGGCGGGUCUCUGGACAGUUCCUGACACUGAGACACGAAGGCCAGGGGAGCAAACGGG
rnacentral:rRNA from 1 species